CAGACGCGGCGGUAUGAGCAGACGUUUUCCCAAAGAAGAUGACAGCAACUAAGAAGAGGGCCGUGGAAAGCAAAAGAGGCCAAAAGUAGGCUAAAAUGGUGAGAAAAGAAGGUGCAAAAAUGAUGAGGGCUGAAAGGGGGGAGAGGAGGAAGUGGUGAGUGGUGACUCGAGUGAUAGAUUCUCUCAAGCGGAAAAAUAGUGUUUUCCUUUUCAGAGGGAGGAGAAUGUGGUUAGUGUAAAACUUUGGGCUUAUUAAGGAAGUUAUAUGAAAACUUAUUUAAUAUGAUGGUAUUGAAUAGUUUUUGCAUUUAAA